UUGACAUGAGUGGCCAAUGAUUCCCCCUGUAUUGUUCCUGGAGUGACUUGGGACUUGCUUAGACCUGGCUGUUCUGAACUAGCAUGAAUAUUUUCAUUCCUGUUGUUUUUGUAAAUUAUCCACAAUGAAUUAACUGUGGUGCAUUCAUGAUAUGUUGGAUGGUUUGAAGUUAAGUGUGACUGUUGUGACAAUACUCGCAUGUGGCUAUUGUCCCAUUAAAUGUCUGAAUUCAUGGUUAAUUUGUUUUCUUCAUAUUUGACUUUGUUAAUAUUUUUAGAAUGAAGGCUUGGGAAAACGGCUUGCUCAUGGAUACCCAUUUUUGGAAGCUGAAGUAGCAUACUGUGCUCGUCAUGAAUACUGUGAAUCUGCUGUGGAUUUUGUUGCAAGGAGAUGCCGGCUAGCUUUCCUUGACACAGAUGCUGCCGGGAGAGCUUUACCCCGGAUCGUUGAGAUUUUAGCUUCUGAGCAUAAGUGGGAUAAGACAAGGAAGAAAGUUGAACUGCAAAAGGGUAGAGAGUUCUUGGAAACAUUCAAAUCAUCCAAGAAUGCUCAAUUCAGCGAUGGGAAACAUAAUGGACGAUGACCAAAAAUGCAAUUCUGUGAAUAGGCGUGAAUCAUAUAAUGGCAUAAGUUUACUUGAACAAACAGGCUGCGAUACAAGAUUGAGCCGGAAUAUUGCAAGGUUCACUUUACUGCACGCGUGUUUCUGAAUUGAACGUGCUGAUUUACAGCAAAAUAAAAUGUGCCCACGGCACAACAAUUGUAUUUACCGCUGCACAUUAGUCGUUUUUAAAAUAAGCUGGAAUGAGGACCAAAAAUAUUUCACGCUUCACCACGGAUUUGCACUUGUCUGUAGUUUCAUCAUGCCCGUAUGCUUCACAUGGUCUUUCAUGCAAUUUAGUUGGAAAGAAAUAUGCAAGACUGACAACAA